ensembl:misc_RNA 7SK 7SK RNA
GGAUAUGAGAGCAAUCUGGUUGUGACAUCUGUCACCCCACUGAUCACCAGCUGAUCUAGCUAGCUAAGCAGGUAUCCUGUUCCUCACUGACCCAUGUGCAUCUUUCAGAAAGCUACAUGCUCCUUCCUGAACAGAGGAGGACCUAGGGGAGGACAGGUCUAGGUCAAGGGUAUGCAAGUAGUGCUCCCUGCGAGAACCUGCAGUCAAGCUCUCAUUCUCUCCCUGUGUUUAAGUUACGGACACCGAAGCAUCAGGAGAGUGGUGAACAUAUUGCCUGCCUGU